ensembl:lncRNA
CCGGAAGCGUGGAGAGAGGGAGGGGGUGGGAACGCAGCCCUCAGGCUCCGCUGCAGCGCCUGCCUGCUCCCAGCCUCACCUCCGAAGGCUCUCGCCAAGUCGUUGAAUUGCAGAUGCUGGCUCUAACUCACAAUCUUCCUGCCUCAGCCUCCCACUUGGAUUAUAGACAGGCACCAUCACGUGCAGCGACGCCAGAGCUUUUCAGUAGCUGCCCAGGUAGGACCGGGAGGCAGAGUUCUGAGCCACUGCCCUGACACCAAAGCCUCAUCCGGCGUGACCAGGACCCCCCCGCUGGCGGUGUGAGCUGAGUGCAGGAAGGUCCUGCAGAGGCGCCUCCGCGCCGCUCCCAAAACUGUCCUUUUUCCCCAUGUGGCCACAACCGGCCCCGGGACAGUGCCCCAGUGACAAAGGCGCCUGCAGGCUCCUCCCACCACGCAGAGCGACCCAGGGCUACUGGACGCUCAGGACUGUCAACCACGGGUGAUUAAAAACCUCCACCUCCGCCCUCUGCCCAGGGGUGAGCUGCCCGUCUCUGAGAGGAGGAAGUGGUAACUGGUGGCAGAGACAAGAUCCCUGCCGGACCUUCUGAAAGCCUCCUGACCGCCCACCUUUGUGCCUGGAGUGUCCUGCCCUGAUGGUGCACACCCACGCCACCCCAACCCAGGAGACAUGAAAUGCACAACACACGCAGAAAACACGCACCCUGCGGCUCACAGACGCGCGAGGCACAGCACGCACAGCGCAGAGCGGCUGGUGUGAUGCUGCCGCUCCACCAGCCCACUGCCCGGAGCCUCCAGGACUGGCGGUGGGGGUGGAGGCAGCGCCACCCCGUGAGGAAAGUGUCCAGCAAACCAGCCUGGGCUCCUGCUCUCCCCGGGGCCCACGCCGCAGUGGGGCCGGGUCCCAAGCCGGGUUACAGACGCUGCUGGCAAAUGCUUGGCACCAUCUGGGGAGGACACUCCUGGGCCUGACCCGGGGUGGCCGUGGCUCUCUUAUCUGCAUGGGACCAGAGCUGGCAAUCCACGCCAUAAAUGUUCUUUUCUGCGUCAUUCCGGCUUGGGACUUCGUCAAAAACACCUUGGGGGCUCCGUGCGGAAGGGCCUGGUUUCCAUCUCCAAACCUGAACUGAAAACUGCAGCCCUCGGCAGGAGUGCAGAGAGGAGUGGAUGUGCCCCUCGCAGUGCUCUGCCUUCAUUGCGCCUCGACUUGGCUCGGCACUUGCCGCGAGGUCUCGGGCUGCGUGUGGCCUUGCUCUGGGGGCCCCUCCUGAACUGGCCUCCCUGCGUCCACGUCAGGCACGGUGUGUGCCACGGGGUGCAGCACGGGGAAAGCUGCGGCGCGGCCUGUUUGCAGCCAGGUCGCAGUCACAGUCUCAGGUUUCCCAGCUGAACACAGGACCCAACCACCACCUUGCAAACACCUCUUACCUGCAUCCGGUUGCCAUGGGAACUCAAGGAGAGCCAAGGCUGAAGCCACCUGAGACACCUGAGUCUAGGGCGGGCUUGUAGCCCUCAGAGCAGCCUGUGCAGAUCUCAGUCUCACGGCCACCGGUCAGGGAGGGUGUGCAAGAAGACCUCUCUACGCACAGACGCCACCAGGCCACCAUGGCAUGCACUAUAAAGCAUGUGAGGUAGGACUGACAUGUGAAUGCUUGAAAUUUUAAGACACACUGCCAUGAAUCCCCCUCAAAUACCCCCUCACUUUGAGCACACUCACCCAUGGUCCCUGCCACUUCCUGCAGCGGCUCUGGAGUCCUCUCUCCUGAGGGUCUUCACCAGGUGUGAUAAAGAUACAGUGACUGCUGCUGCCGAGCGCCACCCAACAGAAAGCAGCUGGCAAAACAUGACGCCAUGUCCUCAUCUGGAUCUGGCACUGUUGACUCCUGGCUUCUGGCAAAGUCAAAAUUACUAGAAGAUGUUCACUAAGACCCCAAGUUCAGCUAACCAGGCCCUUGGCUUUCACAGUGGGACAGGUCAGGGCCAUCAGGGAGAGCCAGGCUCCUGGGGCUCGUGUCCCAGGCUCAGCUCUGGCCGAGGGAGACAUCGCUGGUUGACUCAGCCAGGAAACUUCGCAUCUUUGCUGCUACCAAUUAGUUGUUCCUGCAAAUUCACUGGAAGGCAUCGCCUUGUGACUUGCUAAGAAGCAGAAUCAGGGCCUUGUAUUGGGAAGCUUGCUGAUUGGACAGAGAGUGACUCCUCUACUUCUUAAAGCCAAUGGCCAGGACACUCAUUCUUUUGGUUGAUGACAAAAACUCUACUCUCUCUUUCCAGAAGGCUUUCAAGUGUCUCUCUGAAAGAUAUUAAUUUCUCACUCAUUAUUUUUAAAGUCACCUUUAUCUUGAAGGUAGGAAUUAGCAGUGUUACUUUUAAAAUAUCUACCGAGAAGCUAUUUCUGACAGCCAUUUAUUUUCCCAGUGACGGGUCCCAAAAUUUGAACUAUUAUUUUUAUUUAAAAAAGAAAACUGCCUAAUUCAUCUUCAAGUCCAAGACACUUUUAACUACCUGCUAUAAUUUAACUGGAGCCAUCCUUUGUGGUACACAGUAUUUUUAUAGUCAUUCUCCACAAAGUGUUAUAAAUAUUACAUUACAAAGUAUUAUAAAUGUCCUGUGUUUUCAUGGCUGGUUUUAUCUGUACUGGCAAUGGCUCUCUCUUCAGUCCAUGGGGUAGGUUAUAAUUUUUCCAACUGACAUACAUUUAUUUAUUUAUUUAUUUUUGAUACAGGGUCUCACUAUGUAGUUCAGGCUGGACUUGAACUCAGUAUGGAGCCCAGGCUUGCCUCGAACUCAUGGCAAUCCUCCUGCCUCAGCCUCCCGAGUGCCAAGAUUACAGAUGUGUGCCAUCACACCCAGUGUGAUAUUUAUU